rnacentral:piRNA from 7 species
GGCUGGUCCGAAGGUAGUGAGUUAUCUCAA